rnacentral:rRNA from 1 species
UACGUAGGGGGCAAGCGUUGUCCGGAUUUAUUGGGCGUAAAGAGCGUGUAGGCGGCCAAGCAGGUCCGCUGUGAAAACUCGAGGCUCAACCUCGAGAGGUCGGUGGAAACCGUUUGGCUAGAGUCCGGAAGAGGAGAGUGGAAUUCCCGGUGUAGCGGUGAAAUGCGCAGAUAUCGGGAAGAACACCCGUGGCGAAGGCGGCUCUCUGGGACGGUACUGACGCUGAGACGCGAAAAGCGUGGGGGAGCGAACAGG